rnacentral:lncRNA from 1 species
CCUAAUUUCUCAUCUCCAGGUGUUCCAUGAUGCUUAUUUUACAAUUAAGAAAAUAGAGGACAGAAAGUGGCUUCAGGAAGGUCAGGUGACUUGAUAGCAGCGACAAGGGCCAAACUCAGACAGCUUAUUACUGGAGCUCCUUUACCCACAGGACUCCCAUACCUUCUGGAGCAGAAUGUCACUAGGUUACUGGAAGCUCAGUCUGCCCCAACAUUUCCCUAUUUACUGGAGACCUCAAAAACUUGUCAUUGACCUUCCCAUGACCUGGAUAAAAAUCUCUCAACCUGUCCCUGCCUGUCAUGUGGUAUGCAGCAUGAUGGUCCCAGCCAGUGGGGAGCUGUAAGACAGAUGUUCAAGAUGAGCCUCUGGGGCUGAUCAUGUCUCUGGUUAUAGAGAAGGAGAGAUUCUAUAUGUUGCCUGGCAGCCACUGAUUGGUCAGAGACAAAGAGGAAUGCUUACGAUGGAGAUGCCCUGGCAGUUGUGAUUUUGCUGAAGUCCAUUAUUAACAUGAAGUCCAUUUCUUUAUCAUUUUCCAGUGAGUUACUUUAUUACAGACAAUAUGCUAAGCUAAUAGAAAAACAAAGAAGAGAUUAAAAUUUCAUUCUGAAGUUGAAUCAAUGGCAACUAUGCAUGAUAUACAUCAAUAUAAAAUUCUGACCAUGAGGGGCUGGGGUUGUGGCUCAGCAGUAGCAAGUGCGAGGCCCUGGGUUCGAUCCUCAGCACCACAUAAAAAUAAAUAAAUAAAACAAAGGUAUUG